AGAGUUUGAUCCUGGCUCAGAGUGAACGCUGGCGGCAGGCCUAACACAUGCAAGUCGAACGGCAGCACAGCAGUAGCAAUACUGUGGGUGGCGAGUGGCGGACGGGUGAGGAAUGCAUCGGAAUCUGCCUAUUUGUGGGGGAUAACGUAGGGAAACUUACGCUAAUACCGCAUACGACCUACGGGUGAAAGUGGGGGACCGCAAGGCCUCACGCAGAUAGAUGAGCCGAUGCCGGAUUAGCUAGUUGGCGGGGUAAAGGCCCACCAAGGCGACGAUCCGUAGCUGGUCUGAGAGGAUGAUCAGCCACACUGGAACUGAGACACGGUCCAGACUCCUACGGGAGGCAGCAGUGGGGAAUAUUGGACAAUGGGCGCAAGCCUGAUCCAGCCAUGCCGCGUGAGUGAAGAAGGCCUUCGGGUUGUAAAGCUCUUUUGUCCGGAAAGAAAAGCAUUCGGUUAAUAACCGGGUGUCAUGACGGUACCGGAAGAAUAAGCACCGGCUAACUUCGUGCCAGCAGCCGCGGUAAUACGAAGGGUGCAAGCGUUACUCGGAAUUACUGGGCGUAAAGCGUGCGUAGGUGGUUUGUUAAGUCUGAUGUGAAAGCCCUGGGCUCAACCUGGGAACGGCAUUGGAAACUGGCUUACUAGAGUGCGGUAGAGGGGUGUGGAAUUCCCGGUGUAGCAGUGAAAUGCGUAGAUAUCGGGAGGAACAUCUGUGGCGAAGGCGACACCCUGGACCAGCACUGACACUGAGGCACGAAAGCGUGGGGAGCAAACAGGAUUAGAUACCCUGGUAGUCCACGCCCUAAACGAUGCGAACUGGAUGUUGGGUGCAAUUUGGCACUCAGUAUCGAAGCUAACGCGUUAAGUUCGCCGCCUGGGAAGUACGGUCGCAAGACUGAAACUCAAAGGAAUUGACGG
rnacentral:rRNA from 1 species